rnacentral:piRNA from 1 species
AGCUUUGUGACUGAUGGUUUCUUGGC